rnacentral:rRNA from 1 species
AUAUUGCGCAAUGGGGGAAACCCUGACGCAGCAACGCCGCGUGAAGGAAGAAGGCUUUCGGGUCGUAAACUUUUGUCUUCUGGGAAGAAUAAUGACGGUACCAGAGGAGGAAGCCACGGCUAACUACGUGCCAGCAGCCGCGGUAAUACGUAGGUGGCGAGCGUUGUCCGGAAUUACUGGGUGUAAAGGGCGUGUAGGCGGGACUGCAAGUCAGAUGUGAAAUACCGGGGCUCAACCCCGGGGCUGCAUUUGAAACUGUAGUUCUUGAGUGCAGGAGAGGAAAGCGGAAUUCCUAGUGUAGCGGUGAAAUGCGUAGAUAUUAGGAGGAACACCAGUGGCGAAGGCGGCUUUCUGGACUGUAACUGACGCUGAGGCGCGAAAGCGUGGGGAGCGAACAGG